rnacentral:lncRNA from 1 species
CUGGAUUUUGGAAUUCCGACGAUGCUCUCUCCAACCGCAUCGAUGCCUGCGGCUGUUGUUGCUAUUGCAUAGCCUGCACCGCUUCAGUGAGGCCCCUGACCUACUGAACCAGUAGGUCGAAUUGCUCCACUCUGAUCACCACUGCCGGAGGAGGAGGAGGAGGGGCCUCGGAAACUGGAGGUAAGGCCGGAGCCUGAGA